rnacentral:rRNA from 1 species
UGGGGAAUUUUGGACAAUGGGCGGAAGCCUGAUCCAGCCAUGCCGCGUGAGUGAAGAAGGCCUUCGGGUUGUAAAGCUCUUUCGGUGGGGAAGAAAUCGCCAUGGAUAAUACCUAUUGUGGAUGACGGUACCCGCAUAAGAAGCACCGGCUAACUACGUGCCAGCAGCCGCGGUAGUACGUAGGGUGCGAGCGUUAAUCGGACUUACUGGGCGUAACGCGUGCGCAGGCGGUUAUAUAAGUCAGACGUGAAAGCCCCGGGCUCAACCUGGGAACUGCGUUUGAUACUGUAUGACUAGAG